rnacentral:lncRNA from 1 species
GAGAACUGGAAAGAGAAGGGUCCAGGAAGAUCUUAUGGCAGCUUUCUAAGGUGCUAAAGGCGGCCUACAGGAAGGCUGAAAAGGAACUUUUGACAAGGCCAUGGAGUGACAGGACAAGGGGAAAUGCCUUUAAACUGGCAGAGGACAAGUUUAGUUUGGAUACUGGGAAGAAAACCUUCAUCAUGAGGGUGGUGAGGCAUUGGAACAGAUUGUCCAGAGAUAUUGCAGAUGCCCCACCCCUAGAAGCGUUCAAGGGCAGGUUGAAGAUGACCCUGCCCAUAGCAGGAGAUUUGGGAAUAGAUGACUGUGAAAGUCACUUGUGACCCAAACCAUUCCAUGAUAGUUGCUGUUGGAGCAAUAUUUGUGCUCUUUUGUCAUGCCAAGGAUGGUUUUUGUCCUUGCACCUACUUAUUUGCAGAUGAAGUCCUGGUGAUAUGCAUACACCAGCAGGUGACAAACAGGCUCAUUUGGUCCAUCAUUUCCAAGUAUCUGCUGAAGCUGAUCCAAGAUCAGAAAGGUCAACAUGAUCUAAUGUCUUUUGCUGGAGCUACUUUCUGGCCAAAAGAAGCACCACAAAAUCUGGAGUUUCCUGCAGGAGCCUAA